UCGAACUGCGUACAGGCUGAAGCAGCCACCAAGUUCCACCAGGGGCUGCUGUUGAACUUCUGAAAAAAAAAAUACCAUAAUUCGGAGGAGAAGAACAAAGGUCCUAGAAAAAGACCACAGAAAGGGUCACACCUCAAAAGCAGAAGCUAUUUUAGAUGCAUGAAAUGACAGCUUUCUCAGAGCCGACUGUGGAUGCUGAUAGACCUGCGUGUCUUCAAGCAGGCAAGUCGCUGGCGCCAGCUUCGCAGAAGCGUCCCCUGCACAAUGGGCGAGUCACCUAGAAAGGCAACCUCAACUGCAGGUUAAUCAUCCAGCCCUGGCUGGUGGCACUUCUCCCGGCCCUGCAUCCUACCAAAGAGCAAGAAAGACAAGAACUGUUUUCUCUUUGCUAUUUAACUUAACAGAAUCUGGGCUCAACAUUAGUUGGAGAUGAUAUUUCCUCUCGGCUGGGAUGGAAAGGCUACUGUAAUUUAGUAGUACAUUGUGAGGAAAAACUACGCAGCAUCUUUCUCCUCUCUUGUAUCAUUCCCUGGAUGGGAGAACACACAAAGUGGUGACUGUGUGGCUCAGGCAUGCACAGAUAACUCAUGUGUUACAGAGUCCGAGGGAAGAAGCUAUGUGAUGUUUUGGACUUAGAAACAUUUGUGAAAAAAUGUAUUUGUGUCAGUGAGUUGAAAAGUAUAUAUAUAUGUAUAUAUAUAUAUGAAGCAGGAUACAAAUAUUAUAGCGAGGAACAAAUGGUUCAGCGGAUCAGACCUAUCCUCUCUAGAGGUAGAGAGCAAACAUCUCCUAAUGGGAUGGGUAGCAAGAUGAGUAUUCUACAUUUGUUUUUCGGUUCUACCUAAGUCUUUGUAACUUUACAAUGUAAGAUUCAGAAAUUGGAGCCAAUUACCAUAAUCUGUGGUGGUUUGGUGGGAACAUGUUCUACAUCAGACAGUUAAAAGGGUGGAUUGCUAUUAGGGCAUGUUAAUGCCCUUGAUAAUGUCUCUACUCGCUUUGUAAUGGCUCUUGCUGAAGUAUAGAAUUCUUUUAUCUUCUUAUUACAUUAUGCAAAAACUUGAAUUGAAAAGAUAUUUGCAGGAGCAUUUAAAGUAGUGCAUCAAUCAGCUUCAAAGACGAGAAAAUGUUCUUGGAAUAGCUUAUAAAAGGAUAACUGUCACUUUUAUUUUGGGUGAACAAAGGCGACAACGCAGAGAGCAUUUUAUUGUAGAAGCACAUGGCGCGAUUCAAUAAAUACGCCGUGCAAAUAGGAAAGAGAAGGAAGUUCGUAAUUAUCUUAUGACUUGAGCAUCAUUUAAGCAACACUUUCAAAAUGCAGCCGGCGACGAAGCACUCUUGCUGCUGGGUCCUGAGUUCUAGCCUGUGAGUCCCCGUGAGGUGAUAACUGUCUUUGAUAACAUAGGAUUUGAAUGGAUUAGUCAUGCUCUGUUUUUAAUACUUCUCAGAAUGAUACAGAAAGGAGCGUGUGGGGAGAGCAUUAGCAAAAAUCCUAACAACCACUUAAUGGCGUAAGCUUCUCAAAAUGGGUUUCCUUAUGUGCGUGUUAUUCAAUUGUUGCUCUUCUUGUGGCUGCUGCUAAGACAGCUUUGGAUUCGGGUUUAACUGCAUUGUGACUUGGGUUAGCAUGUCCAGAUGUUCCCUGUGUAUUAAGAGAAAUCUCUCGGCAGCAUAAUUCCGGACCUUUAGGAUCAGGGGUGCUUUGCUGCUGUUCAUUAAGGAUAUUUACGCCUUCUUUAAAAUGAGAACUUUCUUGUUAGCUUGUAAGCAUGCUUUUGAAACUAUAAAUGCUAACUAUGCGAUCUUAUUUUUCAAGUAUGUCUCCCAGGAUGAUGAUGGAUGCUGGAGAGAUGACUCUGUUCAGCAAGGCUUAAGAAGC